CUGACACAGCGCUAGCGCACAGCUAGCGGAGGCAGCCCCUCGCCUCACUUUACAUUUAGUCUCUACGGUCCGGGCAACGGGGCAACACGCCUUAGAAUUGGCUUUUCUAAUAUUUUAUGUAGAACGCGCGCUCUACGGUGUUGAUAAAGUAUGAAUCGCUUCGAUGUGCCCUUUUUAACCUCCUGGUCAGAGUUCUAUCAAAAUUGGUCAAUCCGUUAUUCGUCGGAGUUAUUUCUCGGACAGACAGACAUCUCGUUAUUGCCUAUAUUAAUGGGAAUGCAUCAAACAAGGAAGCUACGAAGCGAAAUAUUGAACAUGUCUUAUGCAUUGAAGCACAUAUCCUCGAGGGAAGCACUUCCUCUUAGUACGAGACGGACUUCAAAGGGC